AGACGCGACGGCAAAGGUAAACGGAACGGAGGUGUGGGAGAGGGUGAAAAGAAACUUUAUUCAAACGGGGGAAACAGAUGUUAUAACGCUAUGUUACGGAAAAUAGAUGUUGAAACUGUUUGGCGAUAGUAGCAUUGUUAAAAGGAUUUACCUUUUCAUUGUAAAAGCAUCGGCUAGUCACGAUGCCACGUUCCAGUGAAUAGGUUACGGAAACAUCCCCAAAGGAACUACGAUUGACAAGAAUAUAUGUUGCAUCUUUGUUUCACCCCAGUCACCAGAUGCAUAAUGAAGUGCCAGGUCCUAGGACUAGGUCACAGACAAAAUGUCAGAGUUCCAAGUUUGAAGGAUCUUUGUCUCAUUUCCAUCUCAAGAUCCUUGAUGAGGUACCAGGGUAGAAGGACAAGAUCCCAAAUUAAAACUUCAGUUCCUUAGGCAUAGAGCGUGAAGUAUCUUUGUCUCACUCACGUCAGAGAUCCAUGAUGAGGUGCCACAGUGCAGGGACUAAAUCACAAACAAAACAUCAGUUCCCUGGGAUUAACACUUGAAGGAUCUUUAUCUCACCUUUCCAAAUAUGGAAUAACUAGUCAUCUCAUGAUGUUAUAUUUGAAAGACGAUUGGAUGGUGCCAUCUUAGUUCAAGUGUAAUGGGGGAAAAGUUAACUUUUCAUUGGGCAGAUUUAGAAGCUCAGAACAUGCAAAGGACGUCAGAUUUUGUGCCCAUUAUAUUGUGCCUUCACAGGCAGUGCUACAAAUUUUUACUCAGAGGGUCCAGACACCAAAAUGGUACUCCAUUAUAUCACAAAAAUGAUCAUUCUGCUGAUGCAGUUGAAGAUGAUACUGAUAGAGUGAAUGAAGAUAAUUUGUAAGUUUCGCUUAUAAUGCUAUGAAUAUUGCUGUAUUUAUAUAUGAUGUUAGUUAGUGUAGUGGUUUAUUUU